AGAAUUCACGUGAGACCCUCGCGUGCCAACACACUAGCAACUUCAGACGUCAGCAGGCGGAAAUGGCUGAUUCCAGGUGCAGAGUAUUCCAUCUUUACUGGCCAGCCUCUGGACACCCAGGACAGUAACGUGGAUAACCAGCUGGAGGAAACCUGUAGCCUAGGGCACCGUUCACCUCUGGAAAAGGAUUCUUCACCUGGAAGUUCAUCAACAAGCUUGUUGAUAAAAAAGCAAAGAGAGACUUCAGACACGCCGAUCAUGAGAGCUUUAAAAGAACUUGAUGAGGGAAAAAUAUUUAAAAAUUGGGGGACACAGACAGAGAAAGAGGACACCUCAAAUAUAAAUCCUCGGCAAACUGAAACUUCAGUUAAUGCAAGUCGUUCUCCAGAAAAGUGUGCCCAACAGAGACAAAAGAGACUUAAUUCGGCCUCACAGAGAUCAUCAUCUUUACCACCUUCAAAUCGUAAAUCAAGUACUCCAAGUAAGAGUUAGAUGUGUACAUCUCUUGGGUUCAAAAGCGUGAUCUCUGAGUCAAAUCUAUUUGUGCCCGCUGCUUGCCUGUUUCUGGUUUCUCUUGUAUCCUCAGCACCUAGUAGAGUACUCUGAGCAGAGGACCCCUAAAUAAGAUCUUGUUCAUAAAUAAAAUUGUCUGAUCACAUAGA
rnacentral:lncRNA from 1 species